CGGCAAGUGGGGGAAUUGGUAGACCCGCCAGCCUAAGGAGCUGGUGCAGAAAUGCGUGUGAGUUCGAGUCUCACCUUGCCGA
rnacentral:tRNA from 1 species